rnacentral:piRNA from 1 species
UCCAGGGAUGCCUGUGAUGAUGCUGAA